rfam:Dipodomys ordii contig_39775, whole genome shotgun sequence.
AUCCUUUUCCAGUUCAUAAGCAUGAUGAUUGGGUCUUCACGGGCUUGUGUGGCAUGUGCUUCUUUCAAACUUCGUUAAGACGUGGCCAUAUUACAUAUCUGAUG